rnacentral:lncRNA from 1 species
CUUAGGUGCCGCGUCACCGGUAAUGUGGAGAAUAUGAAGAAUGCUAUCAGGAGAAAACAGGGUGUGUGUGCAGUAUGGAGAGUGCCUCUGAAUACCAUUAGCUUCCCUUCCUAACUAGUGAAUAGUACCUAACUGUGAUCAGAAAAAGGAUUCAUGUGAUUUAUCAAGCUGAGCAACUGCACGUUGGCAGAGGAGCUGGGGGUCAAUCUGGAAAUCCAGGGCAAGAGGGGUACUAGGCAGCUGGCAGGGCUGAGAAGUUAAUCAUCCCCUUGGACCGCUUCCAUCCAUCUCGGAGUAGCAGAGCUGCUGCAGAGCGAGCCAGGAUGCUUUAUAGCCGUAGAUCAGGAAUUAAUAUUUUCUGUGAAACCUCCAGCUUCAUUUGCAGUAACUUGGGUUUUAUAAAAAUGGAGCAUAAUUUCAUAUGAAUAAAUCACAUUCAGCUAGAAAGAUGAGAAGCUGAGGAGGGGCAGGGGAAAGAUUGUGCUUAACUUUGGGAAGAAAAAAAAAGGAACAAGCAAGAAAGCCAACAUGAAAACAGUUGUUAAGGCCAUGGGGCUAGGAGGACAUGAAUGGCCGUAUGGUUAAACUGUGCAUGUAAUCAUCUUCUGAAAUGUCAGCCUGCG